UACAGAGGUCCCAAGCGUUGUUCGGAUUUACUGGGCGUAAAGGGUGCGUAGGCGGCCAGGUAGGUCUGCUGUGAAAACUCGAGGCUUAACCUCGAGAUGUCGGCGGAAACCAUCUGGCUAGAGUCCGGAAGAGGAGAAUGGAAUUCCCGGUGUAGCGGUGAAAUGCGCAGAUAUCGGGAAGAACACCCGUGGCGAAGGCGGUUCUCUGGGACGGUACUGACGCUGAGACGCGAAAGCGUGGGGAGCGAACAGG
rnacentral:rRNA from 1 species